AUUUCUAUAGCUUAAACAAUAGAGCAUAGUAUUGAAGAUACUAGGGUAACAAGUUUUGUUUGGGAAUA
rnacentral:tRNA from 1 species